AGACAUCUAAGCUUGAAGUUUUGAAAACAAAUUCAGCUAGUGGAAGGGCUUCUCCGAUGUUGCAACGCGUAAAGUCUUCAAAAACUAUCGCAGAUAGAAUGAAGAUGUUUGAAGCCAUGUCAGGAAAAGACUAAUAACAACAACAGUAUUGAAUUGUUUCACUUACACGUAGAAAAAUGAUUCAGUUACUGGCAAGCCACCAGAAGAGACAAUGUGUAAAGAAAUUUUAAUGAUUAAUUUUUCUUUCUCCUUCCCAUUUUCUAGAUUUUGAUACAUAGAUUGCUUUAAGGGCGCCCUCAAACAUAAGCUAACCCACUGGGUGUCGUUAAAAGGAUAUAUAAUACUCUCUUUAUAUAUCGUACAAAUAUAAUUUUUUUUUGUUAUUGAUCAUUUGGUGUAUGUUAGAAUUUUAUGAAGGAUGUGCCAUUACUACCACAGGGUACAGUAUGUCAAAGUUGAGAAAAAUGUCUCUUAGCUAUUUUGAAAAAAUUUAUUACACAAAUAGUGUUUUUAAAUAGUGUUAUUAAACAUAUAGUCAUGAAGAAACCAUGCAAAGAAAAAUGUUAUUCUCAGUAUUUUAAAUAUCAACAAAAUAUAAAUAAAUGUGAUACCAAAUUGCUCCAUGACAACACACCUUUUGAAUGACAAAAUGUUGUUGGUGGUGAGGGAGCUAUUAAAGCUGUCUGAUGGGUUAUCAGUGGUGGCCAGUGUUUGCCAAAGGAUAAGGCUUGCCGGGCGUUCAGGAUUUUUUUCAGAAUUUUUAAGAUGUUCUGAAAAUGUUUUAGCAAAAUUAAAUACAACAGGAUGUUUCCCUUUAUUGGUUUGAGUCACAGUCGGCAGAGGUAUGGCUUGUCCAAUGAAGGGUUAAGGCCCCUGACACCCCAGUGACUAUUUAUAUACUGUCUUUUUUAUGUUGUCAUGGUGUUGGUAGAGAUACCUAUUAAAGUUUGUACCUGUGUGAUUAUUUGAACUUUAUCAUUAACAUAACCAGUACAUUGUAAUGUGACACUGUUUCUGCACAGUGGUUAUAUGUUAUUAGGAAGAAAAUAAAAGUGGGGUGUGGAAUGCUAUAAAAAAUAAACAGGAGUAAUUUUAAAUGUUGAAAUAACAUUUCCUGUAUUAAAUUGAUGCAUAGAUUAUUUAAUAUUUUAUAAAGAUACUUAAAUAUAACUACUACUUGAUAAUGUCAUUUUGGGCUUUGUUUUAUUUGACUUGUAGAUUUGAAUCUAUGGUUUUUAUAAACAGUUUAAAUCUAUUUUAAAUAUUUUAUAAAGUAUAUAAGAAUAUUAUAAUGAAUUGUUUUUGAAAAUGUUUGCCAAAUUUAAAUACUCAGUACAGGAACUGAGACUACAGGUGCCUACUUAAUAUAGUGUUUAGUUUAGGGUCCUAUUGAAACUGCCUUGUUAGUAUACAAUAGUCAAAUUUAAACUCAAUUUUUUAAUUGCUUUCUACAUUUAAGUAAUUAGCUUAUAAGCCAAAUCGUAGUUAGAACCGCACAUGCUUGUAUUCAUGGUCAAUCGAGGUCAAUCGACAUAAACACAAUAUAUAUGGUGUUUAUGUCGAUGACCUUGAUAGGAGCAUGCGCAGUUCUAUCUACGAAAUGACUUUUUUAAAACAAGAAAAUAUUUUUUCUUGCCAAUUAACAGUGGUAUAAAUAAUACUGUUUCAAUAUUCUUUACAUAUAUACACUUAAUUUAGCUGGUAGUUUAAGAAUUGUAAAAUGUUCAUUAAUUACAUUAAACAUUAAAAUGUUUCUUUUUAGUAGCCGCUAAAUGGACAAUUCAAUGAUUUAAUCAAUUAUUAAGGGUUCCAGAUUUAAAACAGUACCGUACAGUAUCGUUUAUUGUGACUUGCAUUCGUAUUAUUUAUCUAUUUUUCCAAUACAAAUGACAAAAAGGCCAUACAAAAAUGGCUCCACUCUGGUAGAUUUUUAUAUAGGAAAUAUAUAUCUCUCCUUUAAGUGACACAUAACUAUGGUAACAAAAAUUACCACAGUACUUAAACAUUCAACACAACAUUCAAACAAAUAUUUUAUUUAUUUAUUUAUUUUAUUCAACUUUCUUUAUACAGGAUGGCACGCUCAAUGCAAAUGCCCCGGUUUUCGUUGUGGUCCAGUUAUAGCAUAAAAAAUACAAAAGUGAUAAAAAGAAUAGGAAAAUAUAAGGAAAUUUUAACAAAAAGGACUUAAUUACAAAAUAGAGAGAUUAAUUAUUUUAGAGCAUUUUUAAAGGUAUUUUUAUUUAAAUUCUGGAAAUCCCUAGUUAUGUUAAUAGGUAGGUAUUAAACUUACAUAAAUACAAUUCUAAAAAAAAAAAACACUUCUCACCUAUCAUUUUCUUAUCAUGAGCUGGGGCACGCUUUAAAACGUCAAACUUGACUAGUUUAUUUUCCUAAAAUAAUAUUCAAACCAUUUCCAAAUACCUGUGCAAAAUUUAGAUGUACAUAUAUCUCAUCCCAAAUUCUAGGAGACAUUGGAAUAUUUAAACUUGGAAAGUUAAAGUAUUUCCAGUUUGGUGAAACAUAUGAAACAGUUAGUAUAAUUAUAAGAACUGAAAUUAAUGGUUUUCUUUGAAUCUGCUGCAAAUAUGUAAGUUGCAUUGCUUUUGUAAAUAGUUGCAUUUGUAUAAUUUGGAUGUUUAAUACUUAAGUGCAUUCCAUGCGUUAUUACUCCGGACUGUCUUGUAUUACAAUCUUUCUUCAAGGCUAUACAACCUCACCAUCUAUACUUACAAACUUAACAGUGUAAUAUUGUAUUAUUUUGUGUUAUAAACUUAAGACAUUGGUUGUAAGAUAGCCCAUCUGGUGUUUCAUUUUUCAUUUCGUUUAUUUGUAAUGCAAAACAGUAAUUAUAGUAAUUACCGAAUUACUGAUUAAUACCAGAUAAGAUAGUAUAAUACACUCCAAGUAUCAACACGAUGGCGUGCCUUACAAAUCUUGGAGUAUGUAUUGUAAUAGUGAUUACAAUACAAAAAAAUCGGGAGAAUGAAACUAGUUUUUCACAAGGCAGUGACGUAUUUACUGGUGCACGGGUGUCGCACGCCCCCAUCUCCAAAAAGCUUGGCCUCCCAAGCUUACAUCCCUCACUUCACCAUUUCCCAUGCUUCACCUUCACGUCCCCUCCAAACAAUCAGCCCCAUUUCAAGACUGGUAGAUACGCCACUGCCAAAAUUUUAAUAAAUGAUUUCUGUCGAAUAGAAUAUAAUUACAUAAAAUUGCAUAUUUAAUUAUCAAAUAAAUAAUCUGAUAUAUUAUCAAUCAUAUUAAUACAAUGUACAAUAUAAUGGAUUACAACUAACAAUUUGACAGAAAAAUAAGAACACACAGAAAAGUCAUACAUUAGAGAUCAUGUCUGCCAAGAAAAGGCAGGAAAUUCAAAAAUUAUAGUAGAAUCUUGAAUAGCUCAUUUAAAUGAAUCACAUUAAGCUGAUAACUUCUAAUCAGAAAGCAGUAAAAAAAAAUAGUUGAUUUACAGACAUUUUAUAGAAAAGAAAUCAUAAAUCAGCGUGCAGCUUGUGUUGGUCUAUUUCUAAUUUAUAUUUAUUCAUUUGCUGUUAGACAUAAGGAAUUAUUAACUAUGAUGAUGAUAAUAAAUAUUUGCAAAUUUCAUUGAGAAUAAA
rnacentral:lncRNA from 1 species